AUAAUAAUCGGGCAUAAGUAUACUACCGAAGCUAUGGAUUUAUGGUAGGGGAGCAUUCUAUUUGCGCUGAAGGUUUGGCGUGAGCCAUGCUGGAGCGGAUAGAAAAGCAAAUGUAGGCAUAAGUAACGAUAAGGCAGGCGAGAAACCUGCCCGCCGAAAGACCAAGGUUUCCUCAGCUAUGCUAAUCAGCUGAGGGUUAGCCGGGACCUAACGCGAACCCGAAAGGGGUAGUGGAUGGAAAGCAGGUUAAUAUUCCUGCGCCCGCUCUCAAUAAAAGUGACGGAUGACCCAGAUGUUUACGUACUGACGGAAAUGUACGUUGAGCCUAGCCUUCGGGCGAAGCGAAAACAAGUAAGUUGUCCCUAGAAAAGCGAGAGAAGCGGCCCGUACCCUAAACCGACACAGGUGGUUGGGAUGAGUAUUCCAA
rnacentral:rRNA from 13 species